UACGUAGGGUGCAAGCGUUUAAUCGGAAUUACUGGGCGUAAAGCGUGCGCAGGCGGUUAUAUAAGACAGAUGUGAAAUCCCCGGGCUCAACCUGGGAACUGCGUUUGUGACUGUAUGACUAGAGUACGGUAGAGAGGGGUGGAAUUCCUGGUGUAGCAGUGAAAUGCGUAGAUAUCAGGAGGAACAUCGAUGGCGAAGGCAGCCCCCUGGACCUGUACUGACGCUCAUGCACGAAAAGCGUGGGGAGCAAACAGG
rnacentral:rRNA from 1 species